AGGGAGAAAAUAUUGAAUACCUUCAAUAUCUGGAUGUGGAUGGAAGGAGGAAAGCCUAGCUGAGCUGUAACUGAGGAACUCCAUUCAUUUUUGGUCCUGUCUUACCCCUAAGGAAACAAGCCACAGUUCGUGAAGUUGGAGAGAUCACUUGGCAAGGAAGAAAAUAUUGAAUACCUUCAAUAUCUGGAUGUGGAUGGAAGGAGGAAAGCCUAGCUGAGCUGUAACUGAGGAACUCCAUUCAUUUUUGGUCCUGUCUUACCCCUAAGGAAACAAGCCACAGUUCGUGAAGUUGGAGAGAUCACUUGGCAAGG